rnacentral:rRNA from 1 species
AACGAACGCUGGCGGCAUGCCUAACACAUGCAAGUCGAACGAGACCUUCGGGUCUAGUGGCGCACGGGUGCGUAACGCGUGGGAAUCUGCCCUUCGGUUCGGAAUAACAGUGGGAAACUACUGCUAAUACCGGAUAAUGACGUAAGUCCAAAGAUUUAUCGCCGAAGGAUGAGCCCGCGUAGGAUUAGCUAGUUGGUGGGGU